GUGUUCUCUACUACAUAGCAUGAUUUCUUUGCUUAAUUUCCAAUUAAGUUAUGUGUGGACUCAUUCAUAUAUAGGUGAAAAGAUGAAACUGGUCAUCACCUCACUCGUAAUACUGGUUCUGAUGGUGUCAGUCACGACGGCAAGAGAUCGCUACAAAGAAGGCAUGAACCACCAGGUGAGCAAACUCACUGAGAUGAACACAAAACGCUCAGGUGACAAGGAUAAGACGGUGACCUAUGAACUGAACGAGAACGCUAAAGGUGAGAAGAACUAUAACGUUGACGACCAAAAUCUUUGUCAUUGGCAAGAUGCCUUGCAAGGGAAGUGCCCAUGACUUCCCUACACAAAGAAGGAAGCAGAUACGUAUCCUGCACGCCCUUCAACUUCGUGACGCAUGAAGCUCUAUGAUAUAUACCUAUGUAGAAGCAAAUAAUAUGGAUACGGUGUAGCUUCCUUCGAACCUCUUACUACGUGAAAACUAGUGCUCGGAUGUAAUGGUGUGUUCAGCUUAUUAAUAUAUAUUUGCAGGAUAUUA
rnacentral:lncRNA from 1 species